rnacentral:tRNA from 1 species
ACCGAAAUAGCUCAGUUGGGUGAGCGUAAGACUGCUAAUCGAAAGGUCUCUGAUUCGAUCCCAGGAUUCGGCA